AGUGAACGCUGGCGGUAGGCCUAACACAUGCAAGUCGAACGGCAGCACAGUAAGAGCUUGCUCUUACGGGUGGCGAGUGGCGGACGGGUGAGGAAUACAUCGGAAUCUACUUUUUCGUGGGGGAUAACGUAGGGAAGCUUACGCUAAUACCGCAUACGACCUACGGGUGAAAGCAGGGGAUCUUCGGACCUUGCGCGAUUGAAUGAGCCGAUGUCGGAUUAGCUAGUUGGCGGGGUAAAGGCCCACCAAGGCGACGAUCCGUAGCUGGUCUGAGAGGAUGAUCAGCCACACUGGAACUGAGACACGGUCCAGACUCCUACGGGAGGCAGCAGUGGGGAAUAUUGGACAAUGGGCGCAAGCCUGAUCCAGCUAUACCGCGUGGGUGAAGAAGGCCUUCGGGUUGUAAAGCCCUUUUGUUGGGAAAGAAAAGCAGCAGGUUAAUACCCCGCUGUUCUGACGGUACCCAAAGAAUAAGCACCGGCUAACUUCGUG
rnacentral:rRNA from 1 species